AGGAAGGAUAUAAAAACUACUGUAAGUCUGGCCUUGUGGGGGACUCUUUACCCCAUCUCAAUGUCUAUGCUGAGAGCUUUGUACUUUCUUCCUCUUUAAAAAAUCCUAUUCACUUGCUACUGUGAGUGUUUGUGGAUUUCCUUCUUCGGAUCUGAGGGCAAGAACUCAGUUCCCAUUUCAUUAACAUACAUACAUACUUGCUUUCAAGGAUAUAAUUUGGAAAUAGAACUUUUCCUAGUUUGUUGUGAAGAGGAAGUAUGUAUUUGGUUCAUCCCUAAUCUUUUACAGUCUUUUGGGGAAGAUAUAACUUCAGUCAUCAUGGGUCAUGGUACCACAUUAAGCAUCUUUGAAGCACAUCAGCUACUCCUAGGAAGUCAGUAUAGAGUGGUAAAGAGUAGAUGCUCUGCGAUCCAGAAACCUGAGUUAAAACUACUUGGACCUUGGGCAGGCCACCUCAAAAUAUGCCCCAGUGUCAUAUUGAUUAUUUUGAAUUAAAGUUAUUAAAGGAGUGGUGGGUGCCAGAGGGACCUUUGAACCUCCUCUCAGUGUCCCUGAAACCAGGAACUAAAGCUCCCAUGUGAAAGGUACCCUCCCUGUACUAGAAAGUAGAAAGACAUCCUUAUCACUAGAGACAGGCAGAGAAAUAUGUAUAAACAAAACUUGUUAUUUAACUUACUACCUACUUCGAACCCAGAGCUGACUGUGGCUCAGAUCAUGAAUUCCUUAUUGCCAAGUUCAGACUUAAAUUGAAGAAAGUAAGGAAAACCACUCGACCAUUCAGGUAUGACCUAAAUCAAAUCCCUUAUGAUUAUACAGUGGAAGUGACAAGUAGAUUCAAGGGAUUAGAUCUGAUAGACAGAGUGCCUGAAGAACUAUGGAUAGAAGUUUGUGACAUUGUACAGAAAGCAGUGAUCAAGACCAUCCCCAAGAAAAAGAAAUGCAAAAACAGCAAAUGGUUGUCUGAGGAGGCCUUACAAAUAGCUGAGAAAAGAAGAGAAGGGAAAGGCAAAGGAGAAAAGGAAAGAUAUACCCAUCUGAAUGCAGAGUUCCAAAGAAUAGCAAGGAGAGGUAAGAAAGCCUUCCUCAGUGAACAAUGCAAAGAAAUAAGGAAAAGAGAAGAAAUCUGUUCAAGAAAACUCAAGAUACCAAGGUAACAUUUCAUGCAAAGAUGGGCACAAUAAAGGUCAGAAAUGGUAUGGACCUAAUAGAAGCAUGAGAUAUUAAGAAGAGGUGGCAAGAAUACACAGAAGUAUACAAAAAAAUCUUCAUGACCCAGAUAACCAUGAUGGUGUGAUCACUCACCUUGAGCCAGACAUCCUGGAAUACGAAGUCAAGUGGGCCUUACACAGCAUCACUGUGAGAAAGCUAGUGGAGGUGAUGGAAUUCCAGUUGAGCUAUUUCAAAUCCUGAAGGAUGAUGCUGUGAAAGUGUUGCACUCAAUAUGCCAGCAAAUUUGUAAAACUCGGCAGUGGCCACAGGACUGGUAAAGUCUUCAUUUCAAUCUCAAAGAAAGGCAAUGCCAAAGAAUGUUCAAACUACCACACAAUUGCACUCAUUUCACAUGCUAGCAAAGUAAUGCUCAAAAUUCUCCAAGCCAGGCUUCAACAGUAUGUGAACCAUGAACUUCCAGAUGUUCAAGCUGGAUUUAGAAAAGGCAGAGGAACCAGAGAUCAAAUUGCCAUCAUCUAUUGGAUUGUUGAAAAAGCAAGAGAGUUCCAUAAAAAGUCUACUUCUGCUUCAUUGACUAUGCUAAAGCCUUUGAUUCUGUGGAUCACAACAAACCGUGGAAAAUUCUUAAAGAAAUGGGAAUACCAGACCACUUUAUCUGCCUUCUCAGAAAUCUGUAUGAAGGUCGAGAAGCAACAGUUAGAACUGGACAUGGAACAAGAGAGUGGUUCCAAAUCAGAAAAGGAGUACGUCAAGUCUCCUUUAUUGUCACCCUUAUUAUUUAACUUAUAUGCAGAGUAUAUCAUGUGAAAUGCUGGGCUGGAUGUGGUACAAGCUGGAAUCAAGAUUGCAGGGAGAAAUAUCAAUAACUUCAGAUAUGCAGAUGACACCACCCUUAUGGCAGAAAGUGAAGAAGAACUAAAGAGCCUCUUAAUGAAAGUGAAAGAGGAGAGUGAAAAAGUUGUUUUAAAACUCAGCAUUCAGAAAACUAAAAUCAUGGCAUCUGGUCCCAUCACUUCAUGGCAAAUAGAUGGGGAAGCAAUGGAAACAGUGAGAGACUUUAUUUUCUUGGGCUCCAGAAUCACUGCAAAUGGUGACUGCAGCCAUGAAAUUAAAAGACGCUUGCUCCUUGGAAGAAAAGUUAUGACCCACCU
ensembl:lncRNA